GUCCACUACUUUCAUCAGUACAUGAAGAAGUACGGGAAGAAGCACAUGUUUGAAAGCGAAGAGGACAGAGUCCCAUCUCGUGUAAGUGAAGGCAUCUAUAGUCUUGUUUCCCCAUUUGAUGUGGACUCACGUUUUUACUAUGCUUGCAAAUCAUUUAUUUGGAGACAAAGUCAAUCACUGCCAUGACAGACUUCUUCCACACGUCACGAACUUCAUCAGUGAAAGCGUUGCCCAUCUCUUCUUGUAUGGCCGUCAUCCAAAUAGAUCCAAAUUUCUACGAUUUAUGCAAACCCCAAUGUGCCAUCGUCGACGUAUCCAAGCAUUAAAGGACAUCCAGUUUUUAAAAAUAGUUCGUCACCAUUUCUAUUUGCGGACUGAUGGCAGCAUCAUCAAUUUCAAAUCAGUUCAUCGGCAGUCGGGAUCGGGUCGGGAUCAAAGUCAAAUCGUGGAAUUUAAAUUUACCCUAGUAUCCGGUUGCCCAGCAUGUUUUGCAAGAUUUUGCGCAUGUCAUCCUAUAAAUGCGAAAGUGUGGAACGGCCGGAUUUACGGACACCAGCUCGUCCAAGUUUUGAUCGACGCUAUUCAGCAAAGGCAAAAAGCUUUGCUAGUUGUGGGUCGAAGAAGAACGAUGCGGCUUCGUAGAGAAGAUGAGUGGACUAGCUGAUGUGAAAAGAAUGUUCUUGAACCUGAAAGUCUGGACUUGCGACGAUUUGCUGAUAUUAACCGUUACCCGGCAAAAUUGCUCAAGCAGAUGACGUGCUGUGGAAAGUCAUGCCUGCAGUGGAUGAAGAAAAUUGUGUACCCG